GGGUUUGUAGCUCAAUGGUACAGCAUUGGCAUUGCAUGCAAAAAAAGGGCCAGAUUCAACCCCUGGGAUGUCCC